rnacentral:rRNA from 1 species
AGUGAACGCUGGCGGUAGGCCUAACACAUGCAAGUCGAACGGCAGCACAGUAAGAGCUUGCUCUUACGGGUGGCGAGUGGCGGACGGGUGAGGAAUACAUCGGAAUCUACUUUUUCGUGGGGGAUAACGUAGGGAAACUUACGCUAAUACCGCAUACGACCUACGGGUGAAAGCAGGGGAUCUUCGGACCUUGCGCGAUUGAAUGGGCCGAUGUCGGAUUAGCUAGUUGGCGGGGUAAAGGCCCACCAAGGCGACGAUCCGUAGCCGGUCUGAGAGGAUGAUCAGCCACACUGGAACUGAGACACGGUCCAGACUCCUACGGGAGGCAGCAGUGGGGAAUAUUGGACAAUGGGCGCAAGCCUGAUCCAGCCAUACCGCGUGGGUGAAGAAGGCCUUCGGGUUGUAAAGCCCUUUUGUUGGGAAAGAAAAGCAGCAGGUUAAUACCCCGCUGUUCUGACGGUACCCAAAGAAUAAGCACCGGCUAACUUCGUG